GACGAGAGGCGCGGGUGUUACUCGUUUUGAUUGGGUGUAAAGGGUACGUAGGCUGCUGCCGUAUUUCCUAGACUGAAAUUGCGGAGUGUUCCUACGCGCGGGGUCCUUUAUCUACGCAGCUGGUGUUGAAGAGACGUGAGGAUAAUUUGGUGCGUAAGGGUAGAAUCUAUAUAUACACGAAGGAAUGCCGAAACGCGGAGGCACCUCUCUAGUUUCAACAGACGCUGAGGUACGGAGGUUAGGCAAAGCAAACAGG
rnacentral:rRNA from 1 species